ACGGGGGGGGCAAGCGUUGUUCGGAAUUACUGGGCGUAAAGGGCUCGUAGGCGGCCAACUAAGUCGGAUGUGAAAUCCCCAGGCUUAACCUGGGAACUGCAUCCGAUACUGGAUGGCUUGAAUCCGGGAGAGGGAUGCAGAAUUCCAGGUGUAGCGGUGAAAUGCGUAGAUAUCUGGAGGAAUACCGGUGGCGAAGGCGGCAUCCUGGGUCAAUACUGACGCUUAUGCACGAAAGCGUGGGGAGCAAACAGGA
rnacentral:rRNA from 1 species